GUGAGAUCCUAUAUUAGGUUAGAUUCAUUUGUUAUAUGUUCUUGGUUUGUUCAAGUUUUUUUGUUGAAGGAUUUGGAGCUGUUGGAUUGCUAUUUAGAAGGAAAGAUUUGCACAUGGUGCUCUUCCUAAAUCAGGAAGUUCAUGCCCACUCGUCAUGAACCCUACCUAUAGUAGGCUUAGUAGGGCUCGAACCUACAAUAUGACCAUUAUGAGUGUUACGUUUCAACCAAUAAGACUGUAAGUGGGUAGUAGGCCGUGUAGAAUUCAAGUAUUGGUUCGAUGGAUAUUUUCAUUUGAGUGUUUUUUAGUUGAAUUUUAUCUUAUUUAUUAGUUGAUUUGUA